rnacentral:rRNA from 1 species
AAAUUGAAGAGUUUGAUCAUGGCUCAGAUUGAACGCUGGCGGCAGGCCUAACACAUGCAAGUCGAACGGUAACAGGAAGCAGCUUGCUGCUUUGCUGACGAGUGGCGGACGGGUGAGUAAUGUCUGGGAAACUGCCUGAUGGAGGGGGAUAACUACUGGAAACGGUGGCUAAUACCGCAUAACGUCGCAAGACCAAAGAGGGGGACCUUCGGGCCUCUUGCCAUCAGAUGUGCCCAGAUGGGAUUAGCUAGUUGGUGAGGUAACGGCUCACCAAGGCGACGAUCCCUAGCUGGUCUGAGAGGAUGACCAGCCACACUGGAACUGAGACACGGUCCAGACUCCUACGGGAGGCAGCAGUGGGGAAUAUUGCACAAUGGGCGCAAGCCUGAUGCAGCCAUGCCGCGUGUAUGAAGAAGGC